rnacentral:lncRNA from 1 species
CCGGAGUGUAGUGAGUGGCCUGUGGGAGGGGCAGGGGGCUCCCAUGCAGAAGCUCUGGGCAGCAGCCCUGACCCAUCCGUGCCUGGACUGCAGCGCUGCCCGCUUCCCCCUGGCAAACAGGUGGCAGCCUCCUGACAGAGGAAGCCGGCCCAGGCCGCCGUGUCUGCAGUUGGGUGCUGUGCGCUGCCCAGAGGGCUCUUUGGGCUGGAGAGAGAAAACAAGAACAGACACCCAGUGGAGGUGUGCUUGUUCAUUUCUCCGGGACAGUGGGAGGGAGCCGGCCAGGGUCUCAGCCACUUAGCGCCCGACCCUGAAUUUCCCCGGCUGGCCAGAAACUGUGGUGUGUGUGUGUCAGGAUCCCAGGGGCACCGUCCAGCAGGAGGGGCCGGUGGUCGACGUGGAGGCCCAAGAUUCCCACCCCCGGCAGCUGAUGUGAAUAGCCGGGUCCUCCCAGGUCCCUGAGGUCAAGGCAGGUCAAAGACCUGUGUUCUCCUUCUGGGUCCCCGAGGUAGUGAUUCCUGUCUGAAACACACAAAUCAUUACUGCCACCCAUGAGGGGCCCAUUGUAACCGAGUGAGAGGGCCUGGAAGAGGUCAGCGGGAGGAGGGGCCUGCCACCGAUCAGCUCUCCCAGUGCAAGGACCCGGAGCCCGUCAGAGCAGCCUGCAGAGACUGAGCUUGAGAUUCCGUGGGGAGUUUGGAUUCGCUGAGUGGGUCGCUCUAGCAUUGAGAAAUGCAAGCAGAGAACAGAGGGUGGAAACCGGAUGGUCCAGGAGCCUGGGCACUGUAGCCAGGAGGACAGAGAUCCCGGUGUUCGGGCCCCGGUGUGCAGUGCGUUCACUGCAUUGUUCACUCGGAAUCGCAGGUGGCUUUGCUGGAGGGACAGACAGUUGAUCAUAGUGGAGCUGGUGAGAGGAAGCUGCACCCAAAAGCCAUGGCCGGGAACCUGGAUCUGACUGCAGGGAAACAGAAGCGUGGUGGGCGCUGGGCGAUGAUGGAAUUUCUAACAAAUGCUUUGUUUCUGCUAAAGCUAACUUGCGCUUCCAUCUCUGGCAUCUCCUCCACUUCCCAGAUGAGGACGCAAGCAAGCGCACUCUUCCGAUGUCACUUCUCACGGGAGGCCUCUGUGAUUGCAGAAGGAAAGGCCCCGGCAGAACUCACCAUCUGCCGCCUGAGGCUCCACCACCUCGAAGACAUCCUUGCAAGAUCCACAGACUGGCCCACACCAGGAGGUGUCUGUCUUCUUCUUGUGUCUUCUUCACUCCCCUGGACUGGUUCGUGAACCCCUUCUCCUAUCUCUGUUUCCUCUGGAUGUUAAAUUCUACUUUCUUUGUUGUGGAACGUUAACCUGUAACAUGUAUAUACUGAUUAAGUACACUCUUACGUUGUCGUGUGCAAUAUUGGCUGACGUGUGCAGUGGCUUGAGCCCGUGUGACUGCGGCUCUCACUACCGAGGGAAAAGGAGCACUAAGCAGCAUGCCUCCUUGGGAACGCCGUGUGGCUCGUGGCUUUAGGGAUUGAAAUAGCCUCAAUAAAAUUCUGACAUUGUGAAAGACACAGGCAUGCUUGGAUGUGAUUACCUCUAACUUUUCACUGCUCAUGACACCCCAGGUAUUGGUUAAUGAUUUUGCCUGCAACUUCUGCUUUCCUGAAAUGUACCCAUACCCCUAAAAACCCCAGCUUGUAAGCCACUGGGGAGUUUGGGUCUUAAGCGUGAGCUGUCCGUUCUCCUUGCUUGGUACCAUGCAAUAAAUAUCAUUUUUCCCCUGCUGCAAAUUGCAACAUCAGUGUUUGACUUUACUGCCCUGGGUGAGAAGAGCCCAGCUCGG